AACACAACGCGGCACGCUGUUACAGCGGGCGGACGUAUCGCAGAUCCGAGCAGAAGACAAAUAACGCGGGAACUCGACCCCGUUCGUGAUGGCAGCGAUGUGGUUCCGUACGCUCGCGUUAGUCCUCGUGAGUUCGUGUCACGUGCUCGCGGCUCCAGCACACACAGGCAAUGACGGAUCGAGCGGCAAAUCGGACGUACCAGUGGAGCAGCUCGAAAAACUUAAAAUGGCUGAGUCCGGUAAGGAAGGGGAGAUGAAUAGCGAGCACGUAGAAUAUCACCGACUUGAUGCAGUACAAGCCAAUGGAGAGCUGGUAUCAAGGCUAGAGCAACAUGCAUCAGCUGACGCAGUAGGGAAUGAGAAGCCGCACGUGCACGCUCAGGCGCAGCUAGACGUGCCCUCUGAAGGCGUUCAUCGCGUGCUUGUUCAAGAUGGCGGCCAUGUAAGCGUGCACGACGUGACUGUACCCACUACUGCUGCUAGUGAGGAAGUUACUACUAAAGUAUUCCACGGGGCCGCUCGCCUGGUACAGCCGGGACAAGCAACCAAUGUACCUACGGGCCCGCACACGGCUGUGCGAAGAGCAUUCAACGCAGACAUUACUAAGGAAACUAAGAACAACAUGGAUCAUUACGCCGCGUACUCGGGCGUCCAGUACUCUCCCCUAGACAUGGCGGAGUAUGUUUUCUGGACAGGAGACGAGCGAGGCGUGACCACGGCUAUUGAAGCUUUUCUUCAGGAAGGAAUGAUGUCAAAGGAAGAGGCUAUCGGCUUUCUACAAGAGAUAAAAUUCAAUAUCGAUUACCUGCGAGCGCACUAUUCUCAGAAUUUGAGGGCAGCCGAGGAGAGCGCUCAACAGGAGAAGUUGAGGAAUAUGCUUAUAGAGCAAGCCGAAGCCAAGGAAUACCCAUACCGCACCAGCAGCCCGUCUCUCCAGUCGUUCCCAUUCGGUAGCAGCCCCGACAUCAUCCGAACGAUUGCCAACAAGAACUGGGAGUUGAGCAACAAUCUGUCGCCCGUGCCAGCGUUGCCCGUCAGUAGUGAUCUGCGGCCCGAAGCUAUGAAGAGGACCUACGAUCCUAUGAUGCAGCAGAGCAAUUUGAGGGCACAAGAAUACGAACGCGACGGCCAAUUCGCUGAUGAGGAGUAUGAAGAAAUUAUGGAAAAAUUGAAUAAGCCAACGAGCAUCCCAUACAAUGAAUACACGCUGGAAGAGAUUAUUUAUCAGCUGGCUAAGAUGAUGUUUUCUCAGUCUUUAUCGCGAGACCCUGCUUCCGCGCGGUCAGCUACUCGACGCUUCAUGGCCUUCCUUGAACUUCAGGCGGAGAGGGGACAACUAUCGCGCACUAUUGAGAAGAAAGUACUUGACUUAAUGAUCGCAGCUCUGACGGACACAAUAAGCGAUCACCCGGAGUACCUGUCGACCCGCGACGCGAUGGCCGCCACCCAGGCUAAUAGGCAAACACUUUAUCCAUUUACUCUAGAAUAAUGCUGUAGUGGCCACACUUUCGCACACACAAGAAUAAAAGCAAAAAUCCACGACGAAGUUUAUGGGACAUUACUACGACAUCAAAACAGAAAAGCCGAACCUGUCACGUGAAAUUCUUACUGCGUACAAAAACGAGCUUCUGAAAGGCCAAUCACUGCACACGACGGGUUACCCAGAAAAUUAUCAAUAUUAAUACUUAUACAACAUAAAUAACUGCGAAGAUAUGACACUUAUUUAGUUAAGAAAGCUUUUGAGAAUAUAUAUUGCUUGGAGAAUGUAUUUUACACAAAACAAACGUUAGGUAUAAUUCCACAGUUACGAAGCUAAAAUGUUAUAUAAAUUAAAGAACUCUCAUUAUAAUUUUAAAGUCAUCCAUUAUAAGUUGUAUUUAAAAUUAAAAUAAAUAUAUUUAUGAGGUGGUUUAUUGUAUAUCUCAGUUUACUCAGUAUAUAAACAAUUAAUUCGAGUGCCACAAAGUCCAAAUAAACUUUUUGUAUUAAUAGAUUUUAUAUGUAGUGUCGUAUCUUCGUAAGCCAGCUUAGUACAUAUUUCAUACCUGUGUCUAGGUGUUCCUUAGAUAGUUCACGCAUUUAUUGUCCCGUCAUAUCCUAUUCAAUCUUCUUGUAUACUCAUAUAAUAAUCGAAAUAAAUGUAUAAUAAUCCUGAAGUUAACAAAAAGAAACACUUGAUCUCUUAUACUUUUAAAGCAGCCAAUAUUGUUUUUAACUUAGUAUUAAAAGUUAAACGUGUUAAGGUAGGUUAGUAAUGUGAAAUAUAUUUUAUGAAAUUUCAAUCCCAACCUUGAAAAAAAAUCUAUAUUUAUAGGUUGACUUAAAGUUGACCAGAUUAGGUAAGAUGUAAGACCAUUUAAUGUCUGAUGUUAGGAGAGAGAGGCCUAUGAUUGGCAGACAAAGUAAAUAACAGUGAUGAUCUCUGCCCCUUCCCUUUGAUGUCAAAGUCUAAAAGACUAUUUAAGUUGCGUAGAGACGAGUCUAAAAUCCUCUAUUGUAUACCCCAAGAGACUUAUUACAGUAUCAUAAAUAUAUUACAUCAAUUAAAUUAUAAAAUCUAAGUACCUACCUACAUUAUAAAGGUAAAUAUCUGUUAGCUUUGCAUGUAAGACAUUCUCGUUUAGCUUGAUUUGUUGUAGAUGAAUAUAAGUGCUAAAUGUAAGAUAAUAUUGAAAUAUAUUUAAUAGUUAGUAUAAUAUUCCUUCAUAUUUUUCUACCAAAUAUUCUAAACCUUUUCAUUGCCACGCUGCGCACAAAAUUUGGCUUGUUUGCAUUUCAAAAAAUAAAUGUUAUGAUACAAUGACAUUUUACCAUUUAUUUGCAGUAAUAAAUAGUUUACAUGUUGACAUUGAUGCAUAAGCGUGGUGGUGAAAAGGAGGUACUACAAUGUGCAAUGUUGUGUUCUCUUAAAGAAAAACAAGAGCUUACAUGCAUCAUCAAAGAACCACAAAGAAAUGCAUAUCAAUACUAAGAAACAUAUCUAUAAACAAAAAUAUUAUCCAAAAUAAACAUGUAUUUAUAUAUGAGGUGUAAAACGACGAAAUAGCUUUGGAUAUCGAGUUAAAAAUAUAGGUGCUAUGUAAAGGUGAGUACAGACGGGUGUCAAAUCAUACCUAAAACCGCACUGAUUAUCAGGAAAUAUGUCACGUAAUUUUUAUAUAAAAAAUAAAGGAACGAAGACACAGCAUUGCACAUUUCAAAUCUUUCAACUUUCAGCUGCAUACCAAAUCUAUUACCGUCUUACCACAAAAACUUUUUAACGUCAGUUUAAGACUUGUCUAAAAAAAUGUCAAAUUAUGACGUUGACAUAUGAUUCAUUUUGCAGCCAAAAUUUUAUUAGACAAGUGUAAAACAGGGCUUAAAGUUUUUGUAGUAAGGCCCUUGAUGUUUAAGUAACUGUAUGUAUAGUUUAGAACUGUGACUUUCAAUUUAAAUCACAAGAAUCACGUUCUAUAUCUUAAGACUUACAUUAUAUUCAGCAUUGUCGGUAUAUUAGCGGUUAGCAAAAUUUAUUAUAUUUAUAUUAUUCUUUGAAAUAUAUUGUGGAUUUAAUAAAAAAUGUUUUAAUGUCA